UGGCUUUGGGGCAUGCUUAACAUGCAGUCGAACGGCAGCACGGGUGCUUGCACCUGGUGGCGAGUGGCGAACGGGUGAGUAAUACAUCGGAACAUGUCCUGUAGUGGGGGAUAGCCCGGCGAAAGCCGGAUUAAUACCGCAUACGAUCUAAGGAUGAAAGCGGGGGACCUUCGGGCCUCGCGCUAUAGGGUUGGCCGAUGGCUGAUUAGCUAGUUGGUGGGGUAAAGGCCUACCAAGGCGACGAUCAGUAGCUGGUCUGAGAGGACGACCAGCCACACUGGGACUGAGACACGGCCCAGACUCCUACGGGAGGCAGCAGUGGGGAAUUUUGGACAAUGGGCGAAAGCCUGAUCCAGCAAUGCCGCGUGUGUGAAGAAGGCCUUCGGGUUGUAAAGCACUUUUGUCCGGAAAGAAAUCCCUGGUCCUAAUAUGGCCGGGGGAUGACGGUACCGGAAGAAUAAGCACCGGCUAACUACGUGCCAGCAGCCGCGGUAAUACGUAGGGUGCGAGCGUUAAUCGGAAUUACUGGGCGUAAAGCGUGCGCAGGCGGUUUGUUAAGACCGAUGUGAAAUCCCCGGGCUCAACCUGGGAACUGCAUUGGUGACUGGCAAGCUAGAGUAUGGCAGAGGGGGGUAGAAUUCCACGUGUAGCAGUGAAAUGCGUAGAGAUGUGGAGGAAUACCGAUGGCGAAGGCAGCCCCCUGGGCCAAUACUGACGCUCAUGCACGAAAGCGUGGGGAGCAAACAGGAUAAAACCCCCCGGGUAAAAAA
rnacentral:rRNA from 1 species